UACGUAGGAUGCAAGCGUUGUCCGGAAUUAUUGGGCGUAAAGAGCGCGCAGGCGGCCCAUCAAGUCAGAUGUGAAAUAACCAGGCUUAACCUGGUGGGGUCAUUUGAAACUGGCGGGCUAGAGUCCAGCAGAGGAUAGCGGAAUUCCCCGGUGUAGUGGUGAAAUGCGUAGAUAUCGGGAGGAACACCAGUGGCGAAGGCGGCUAUCUGGGCUGGAACUGACGCUGAGGCGCGAAGGCUAGGGGAGCAAACAGG
rnacentral:rRNA from 1 species